rnacentral:rRNA from 1 species
UGGGGAAUAUUGCAUAAUGGGGGAAACCCUGAUGCAGCGACGCCGCGUGUGCGAAGAAGGCUUUCGAGUCGUAAAGCUCUGUCCUAUGAGAAGAUAAUGACGGUAUCAUAGGAGGAAGCCCUGGCUAAAUACGUGCCAGCAGCCGCGGUAAUACGUAUGGGGCGAGCGUUGUCCGGAAUUAUUGGGCGUAAAGGGUACGUAGGCGGUUUUUUAAGUCAGGUGUCAAAGCGUGGAGCUUAACUCCAUUAAGUACUUGAAACUGAAAGACUUGAGUGAAGGAGAGGAAAGUGGAAUUCCUAGUGUUGCGGUGAAAUGCGUAGAUAUUAGGAGGAAUACCGGUGGCGAAGGCGACUUUCUGGACUUUUACUGACGCUCAGGUACGAACGCGUGAGGAGCAAACAGG